CAGUUGUGGAAACUACGAAAGUUUCAUCAUUUACUGCCUCAAGAGAAGGUUCAAAUGCAGGUUUAGUCGUAAGCUUGGUAAUUGGUGCUUUGUUACUAUUAUGUGUUGUAAUUUUGAUUGUUGUUCUCAUAAGAAGGCAUACAUACAAGAGCAAUCCAAGAGAAAAAGUAAGAAACAAUCUCGGAGGAAAUGACUAUAUUGGAAGUCAAGAUAUAGCUUUACCAAUAACCGCCAAUCAUUCCAACCAUAUGCAAAAUAAUGGCAUGUAUGACAGGAGUAGUAAUAAUAGUGUUCAUGGUUAUGACAGUACAAAUGUUAAUGCUCAUAUCAAUAAUGUUCAGCAUGAAUACACAAACGUAGGUGCAGUCAACGGUUUUGUUAAUAAAGAAAAAGCUCCGGUGCCUACAUAUGCACACCGUCAGGAUAAAACAUUUGCAGAUAAUCACAUGUCAAAUGACGAUGAAUAUGCGAUUGUUGAUCCUUCAGCUGAAACAAGUUUUAAUGAGCCCAUAGACAACAGGACUGGAACAGCAGACAGUUACAUGGUAUUAGAUCCAACCGAAACGGGCUUCAAUAGACAACUAUUUUCUAACACUCCGGUAGGUUAUGAGUUUGCAAAGCCUGUUAAGGAUACGGAGAACAAAAUUUGCCAUGAGGAUCAGUAUGAUAUAUCUAAUGAAGGAGUCUACGACCAUUCGGGAAGUAAUCGUCACAAGGAAUCAGAGGAUAACAUUUAUAACCAUGCCGUUGAUACAAUUUACGACUCCGGAAGUCACAAAAGAAAUAACGAAGGGAGAGAAGACACAUAUGAUCAUUUCUUUGGACAAAAAACAGAAGAUGAUUAUGAUGUCUCAACAACGACAUGAACUUAUGUAAUAUACAAGUUGUAUAUACAUUUUAUAUUCAUAUUUUUUUCGGAUCGAAAUUUCAUUUUACUUGAAAGUUAUACUAAAUGCUUGCAUUCUAAUACAGCAAUACAGAGUUUUUAAUAAACUGAAUGGUAACAAUUGAAGAUUAAAGAAAUACAUUUAAUUAAAUACUAUAAGAUAAAGGAGAUAUGGAAAGAUUGCAAAUGAAAGCAAAUGGCGCGAAUAUCAACGACUUAUAGUAUACAUCUGUGUACACGUCAACAUCUUUGCAAUAUUAAAAUCAUAGCCAUUGUUUUCCGGCAAUCAUUUUAAUGUAUCACAGAAAGCUUGGUUUUUUCCAUUAUUUCCGUAUUAAAAGUUCCUGACAACAAAAAUCCGAAAUGAGAUAAUAAUUAAUCAUCGCCAUAAUUCUUGACAAUGAAAUAUCUAAAACCGAUAGCAAAGCUUGCAAACUCUCUGGAGUUUAAGUGUACUCUUCCAAUUGAUAACCAGAUUACAUUACAAUGUAUAUCAGUCACUACUCAUCCAAAUGUAUUCAGCGUAUUGAACUAUUAUGGAAUUAUAUAUACUUUACAACACAAAUAACGCAGCACAUCUUAACAUGCAUAAUAGUUUCACAAUUUC